UACGAAGGGGGCUAGCGUUGCUCGGAAUCACUGGGCGUAAAGGGUGCGUAGGCGGGUCUUUAAGUCAGGGGUGAAAUCCUGGAGCUCAACUCCAGAACUGCCUUUGAUACUGAGGAUCUUGAGUUCGGGAGAGGUGAGUGGAACUGCGAGUGUAGAGGUGAAAUUCGUAGAUAUUCGCAAGAACACCAGUGGCGAAGGCGGCUCUCUGGUACGUGACUGACGCUGAGACGCGAAAGCGUGGGGAGCAAACAGG
rnacentral:rRNA from 1 species